rnacentral:rRNA from 1 species
ACUCCUACGGGAGGCAGCAGUGAGGAAUAUUGGUCAAUGGGCGAGAGCCUGAACCAGCCAAGUAGCGUGCAGGAUGACGGCCCUAUGGGUUGUAAACUGCUUUUAUAAGGGAAUAAAGUGAGUCUCGUGAGACUUUUUGCAUGUACCUUAUGAAUAAGGACCGGCUAAUUCCGUGCCAGCAGCCGCGGUAAU